rnacentral:rRNA from 1 species
GAUGAACGCUAGCGGCAGGCUUAAUACAUGCAAGUCGAGGGGCAGCAGUUUUGUAGCAAUACAGAAGCUGGCGACCGGCAAACGGGUGCGGAACACGUACGCAACCUUCCUCUAACUGGAAGAUAGCCCACCGAAAGGUGGAUUAAUAUUCCAUAGUAUAUUGAAAAGGCAUUUUUUUGAUAUUAAAGCUCCGGCGGUUAGAGAUGGGCGUGCGUCUGAUUAGGUAGUUGGCGGGGUAACGGCCCACCAAGCCUACGAUCAGUAGCUGAUGUGAGAGCAUGAUCAGCCACACGGGCACUGAGAACCUGGCCCGACUCCUACGGGAGGCAGCAGUAAGGAAUAUUGGUCAAUGGACGCAAGUCUGAACCAGCCAUGCCGCGUGGAGGAUGAAGGCCCUCUGGGUUGUAAACUUCUUUUCUUUGGGACGAAACCCCUGUUUCUACGGGGACUGACGGUACCAGAGGAAUAAGCACCGGCUAACUCCGUGCCAGCCGCCGCAGUAAUAC